UUGCGCCAUAGUCUGGGAUGGAGCCUGAGAGCUUUGAAUAAAUUCUUAGGCUGUGCUGAUAGUGUUAGUCCAGGAAGCACUGUAGGAGGGAUACUUGCUCCAAAAUCCGCAAACUUAAAAGGGAGCUAGAAUCUCAAGUAGAGAAGUAGAGAUAUUCAGACUUUGCUUUGUGGGCAUAGAGUUAGCAGUGGUUUCCAACCUUCCUAAAACUGUAUCCCUUUGGUACAGUUCCUCAUGCUGUGGUGACCCCGACCAUAAAAUUGUUUCAUUACUACUUCAUAACUGGGAUUUUGUUACUGUUAGGAAUUGUAACAUAAAUAUCUGACAUACAAUUCCCAAAGGGGUCCUGACCCACGGAUUGAGAACCCUGAAGCAGAGGCCUGUUAUAAAAAUGCUUUCUGGUUGGGACGAUGGCUCAGCCUGUAACAUUCAUGCCAUGUAGCUGAGAACUUGGCUUCAGAGCUCCAGCAUCCAUGUGAAAAGCCAGGUGUGUGUCCCUCUGACUAAGCACUGGCAGAAGGGACAGAAGGCUCCUCAAGCCUGCUGACCAGCUAGCUGUCUUGCCACCCAUUGAGCUCGGGGUUAGCAAGAGAUGAUGUUGCAGAAACUUGAGGAGAGCAAUAGGUAGCUAAUAUCAAUUUCUAGCACUUAUGCAGACACACAAACAUGCAUGCACACACCAUACACACACUCUAACACAUAAUGGAUGCUCAUACACACAUGUACACGUACACACACACUCUCACAGACACGUGCACAUACCUGCAUGGGCUCAUACACACACACACACACACACACACACACACACACACACACACACACACACAGCACAGAUAAUGCUUUAAAGAACAGAGUGUAGGUCAGAGGUAGAGUGCCUGUCUGGCACAUGCCAGGCUCUGGCUUCUGUCCUAGCACUCUAGGAAACAAAAUACUUUACAAAAGUUAAGGAGCAGAUUAAGGAGAGGGGGAAAUGGGGAAUAGGAAGGAGGAGAGCCAUUAGGAAGUGAGAAGUAGUGAUGUUAGCUGCUGUCUGCCACGCUAGGCCUUUCCUCUAAUAGUCCCAUCCUCCACCCCUGUUUUACAGAGGAGUGAAAGCUGAAGCAUUAGCUGGGUUUGUCCCUGCAACCCUGACAAGUCAUUUUGUUCUUCUGCUGUGGUGGCUGGGAUGGAAAGGCCCCCGAGUCUGAGUUCACAUUCUGGGUCAAGGUUUCCCUUUUCUUUAACUUUCAGGCUUUAGUAUCUAUCUAUCAACCAUCAAUUCAUCCAUCCUUCCAUCCAUCCGUCUUACAUCUGUGCCUCUUUCCCGUUCAUUUCCUAAACACAGAUUGAACAUAUGCUGUAUGUAAGUCUUGUUCCAGUUACUGGAGACAACAGAACACACCAGGUCCUCACCUGUCUUAGUGAGGGUUUCAUUGCAGUGAAGAGGCACCAUGACCAUGGCAACUUUUUUUUUUUUCUUUUUUGGUUUUUCAAGACAGGAUUUCUCUGUGAGUAGACCUGGCUGUCUUAGAACUUGCUCUGUAGACCAGGCUGGCCUCAGACUCACAGAGAUCUGCCUGUCUCCGCCUCCCAAGUGCUGGAAUUAAAGGUGUGCGCCAUCAUGUUCUGCUCAUGGCAACUCCUAUAAAGGCAAACAUUUCCUUGGGACUCGUGUACAGUUCAGGAGGUUUAGUGCAUUAUCCUCUUGGUGGGAAGUAGGGCAGUAUCCAUGGAGAAAGAGCUGAUAACUUUACAUCCAUAGGCAGCAGCAGGAGACCGUGCAGGGCGACACUUCCUCCCAUAAGGUCACACCUGAUAGCAACACUUCCUAGGGUCGAAUAUUCAAACACACGAGUCUAGGGGGCCAUUCCUAUUUAAACCACCACAUCACCCUAGUGAAGAAUCCGGCGUGGGGUGGGGAGGGAGAAGCUGAACAGAAAGAACUCUUUUGGAUUUUGGUAUGUUUCAUUUUUUCCUCCCAGUGCUGGAGAUGGAACCCAGCAUGCUAUGCUGGGUAGGCAAAUAUUCUUCCAUGGAACUAUAUCUCUGGUUUAGGUCUAGGGCUUUGCAUGUUCCCACAGAAUGAAACAAGGGAGCGGAGGGAGAAGGGCAGGAGAAUAUCACCGGAAAAGUGAAACUUGAACUCCUAAAAAUGUGCACCGGAGGGCUGGAGAGAUGGCCCAGUGGUUAAGGGUGCUUGCUGCUUUUGCAGAGGACAUGUAUAACUCCAGUUUCAGGGGCUCAGUGUUCUCAUCUGGCACCCAUGUGGUGUACAUAUAUACAUUCAGGUAAACACAGUAGGUAAAUGCAUCUUUUUUGGAAAUGUAUUUAAAGGUGUUGACUUGAAACUGAGACUUCCCUUGGGUCUGAACAAGUCUCUUUUUAAGUUUUUACCUAUAAAAAAGAUCUUCCUGGGGUAGUGUUCUUACCUGGCUUAGCAGUUAAGAGCACUGGCUAUUUUUCUGGAGAACCAGGGUUUAAUUCCUGGCACCCACCUGAUAGCUCACAUCUGUCUGUAACAAUAGUUCCAGGGCAUCUGUUAUCAUCUUCUGGCCUCCUGGGAGCCAGGCCUGGAAGUGGUGCACAGACAUAUAUGCAGGUAAAAUAUCCAUAUACCG
rnacentral:lncRNA from 1 species